CCUGUGCUGCAGGCUCUUCCACACCAGCCAUUCAUUCUCUGCGUCGGUUCCUCGAGGUGGAUAGAUCAAUCUUUAUUUCCCUUGUCCGGGUACAUGAACCUUGCUCACUUUCGAAAUAGAGAUAACUAUUGUGAUAGGCAUUGUCUAUGGCUUUGCAAUCCACGUUGAUUUGAGUUUAACGUAAAAGAAGACCAAAAACUGAAAACUUUUUCCA
rnacentral:lncRNA from 1 species